GAUGAACGCUGGCGGCGUGCCUAAUACAUGCAAGUCGAACGGAAAGGCCCUGCUCUUGCUUGUCUCAUGAUUGGCGAACGGGUGAGUAACACGUGAGUAACCCGCCCUUGACUUUCGGAUAACUUCAGGAAACUGGGGCUAAUACCGGAUAGGAUCUUUUGCUGCACGGUGGGGGUUGGAAAGUUUCGGCGGUUGGGGAUGGACUGGCGGCUUAUCAGCUUGUUUGUGAGGUAGUUGCUUUCCAAGGCUUUGACGGGUAGCCGGCCUGAGAGGGUGACCGGCGUCAUUGGGACUGAGAUACGGAGCAGACUCCAACGGGAGGCAGCAGUGGAGAAUAUUGCGCAGUGACGGGAAGCCUGAUGCGGCAGCGCCGCGUGCGGGAUGACCGCCUUCGAGUUAUGAACAGAUUUCGCCUGAGACGAGGAGUGAGUGACGGUAAUGAGUAAGGAAGCACCGGCUAACUACGUG
rnacentral:rRNA from 1 species